rnacentral:lncRNA from 1 species
AAACUGGAAUGGGAUCUGGGCAGUGGAUAGUCCUGAUGACGUUGCUCUGUCCUGUUGCCCCUCUAUAGUAAGUGUUGGAAUGGCACAAUGACUUGUUUUGACAUUUUACACAUGUGUAACAUACAAAAAGAAGACCAUUCCUCUUCCCCUCACAACAUCCCAUCCUUCUAGCAGGUUUUAGAAAUGGCAGAUGGCAGUGGAUUUGUGGUAUUGCUGACAUGGCUGUAACUGAGCAACACUGUUGUCGAAGCCCAGCCUUCAGAGAAUCUCUAUCAUGUGUCAAAACUCAUGACAGUUGCUAAUUUUAGAAAACUUGAAGUACUUAAACAGCUCAGCUGAAUUUUGGUUCAUCUAUUAGUAAUUACUUCCAGAAGUUAGCCUGAGUGAGAGUAAAACCUCAGCUUUUCCUGAACAGGAUAAUGGCUCUGUGAAAAAGAACUCCCUCUUUGGAGAUAUUCAAAAGCUGUCUGGACAUGGUCCUGGGCAACCUGCCUUAGGUGUCCCUGCCUUGAGCCAGGGGGUUGGACCAGAUGACUUCCAGAGGUCCUUUCCAACCUCAGCCAUUUGCUUCUGAAACUCUGUUUAACUGUACUUCCCAGGAGCUUGUUCAGCAAUGUCAAUACAUUAUGGAAUCAAUGGGGAACAGGAAGAAGACAAGCAGGAAACUAGAUUUGAGACCACAACUCUUCUGUCCUCUGAAGCGCUUUCACUUGGAGAAGUUGCAUGAUGCAGUGGAAUUUUUCUUCUUUAUGUCUGUCUUGGCUAAAGCAAGACAGACGAGCUUGAAAAGGCUCGCCCUCCUCAAGGAACGCUAUCUGAUUCGUAAGCAUUCCUAGAGGUUAAGGCUGGUGACUAUCAAGAAAGCAAAUACUUCACGCAAGG